rnacentral:lncRNA from 1 species
AUGUCCGAUUUGGUUUCUCUGAUUUUUCCGAUAACGGUUGGUCCUCUGGUUGUCUCCCUUCAAUUUUUCUGUUUUUCGGUUGUCUCCCUUUGGGUUGACCGGCUUUGGUUCAUUACUUCUUCGAUUUGGUUCCCACGUCGUUCUCUACGGGCAGAUCUUCAGAUCUGGAGUUGUAGUGUUUCCUUCUGGGGAAGCUCCUUCUCCGAUGAAUCCUUUGUAGAUUGGAAUAGAAAUAGCCUCAGAGCACAACUUGAAUCUUAG